AUUCAUUUAUUAGGUCAGUUGGUUAGAGUGUGGUGCUGAUAACGCCAAGGUUUCAGGUUCGAUCCCCGUAUGGGACA